rnacentral:rRNA from 1 species
UGGGGAAUAUUGGACAAUGGGCGAAAGCCUGAUCCAGCCAUGCCGCGUGUGUGAAGAAGGCCUUUUGGUUGUAAAGCACUUUAAGCGAGGAGGAGGCUACUUAGAUUAAUACUCUAGGAUAGUGGACGUUACUCGCAGAAUAAGCACCGGCUAACUCUGUGCCAGCAGCCGCGGUAAUACAGAGGGUGCGAGCGUUAAUCGGAUUUACUGGCCGUAAAGCGUGCGUAGGCGGCUUUUUAAGUCGGAUGUGAAAUCCCUGAGCUUAACUUAGGAAUUGCAUUCGAUACUGGGAAGCUAGAGUAUGGGAGAGGAUGGUAGAAUUCCAGGUGUAGCGGUGAAAUGCGUAGAGAUCUGGAGGAAUACCGAUGGCGAAGGCAGCCAUCUGGCCUAAUACUGACGCUGAGGUACGAAAGCAUGGGGAGCAAACAGG